ACAGCUAUGGGUCAAGCCCGAUACCUUUAAGAGAAGUCUUAUUGUGAGGGCGAGUUGUAAAACACCAUAGGGCUGGCCGUCCCAUAUGAAAAGAUUUUAUUAGAAUUGAAUGAAACUUUGUUUAUAUAUUGAUAAUGACAGUAUAUAUAUCGUGUCUUGACUAAUUGCGUGCCAGCAGUCGCGGUAAUACGUAAGAGACUAGUGUUAUUCAUCUUAAUUAGGUUUAAAGGGUACCCAGACGGUCAGUAUAGCUUAUAAAAUGUUAGUACCUGACUAGAGUUUUAUGUAAGAGGGCAGUACUUGAGGAGGAGAGAUGAAAUUUCGUGAUACCAAAGGGACUCUGUAAAGGCGAAGGCAGCCCUCUAUGUAAAAACUGACGUUGAAGGACGAAGGCACAGAGAACAAACAGGAUUAGAUACCCAAGUAGUCUUUGCAGUAAAUGAUGAAUGCCAUAGGUUAGAUAAAAAAUUUCUUAGGAGGUCGUCUCCUCAGACAAAAAAAAAUGGUGUUAUCAUUUUACUUAUUUUCUAAAUAAGGUUUGUUUUUAACUAUCUCCAGAAAUUUUUGUUUAUCUGGUCUAUAAAUGAAAGUGUAAGCAUUUCACCUCAAGAGUA
rnacentral:rRNA from 1 species